rfam:Medicago truncatula strain A17 chromosome 2, whole genome shotgun sequence.
UUGGUUUAAAUCAUUGUGAGUUUACAUUUUGAAAAUUGAAUCCAUAAAAAGUGGUGAGACAUACUUUGAUUUCAUCCAA